AAGUCAGUGACCGGCGGUUAGAUGAAUUAAGCCUUUGCAUUUGCAUUGAACUUUGCCGCGGGUAUACAUAUGGUACAUUUAGUUUUAUCAAAUCUCAAUGGUCAACUGGCAUUUAGCAACUGAACAAUUGCAAAUAAAUAACUCUGAGAGUGUCUGGUCAGAGAUCAGAAGCCACAUCAGUAGCUUAAGGCGGGGUCCCCGUGAGGAAUUUGCAGCCCAACAAUUUACUGAGCAGUUUCCCAUCCGGUGUAGAUAGCAGACAAGAAACGCCUGUCCAAUAAAGAAGAGUUUAAAAACCAGUUCAGAUCGUAGAUUCGCUAGAACUGGCACUCCAUAUAUCAAUCAGUCUCUAAAUAUUACAAAUGAAUCUGUCUAAAUCCUCUUAUUUAUUUCGUUUUGAAUAUCUCCCCAAGCGAGAAAAUCUAAAAUCGGAAACCCAUUUGAAUGUUCUGAGUUUGUUUUUGAGGCACGACCUUGACUAAUGAAGAUCUUUGGCCUGAGCGUGAGUUGAGCUAAAUGGGCUUUAAAUAGCAUGGAUAUAUUUACGAAGCAAUAACUUCGGGCUUUGAUCGCAGAAGACCAGCUUUAGUGGUUUUGGAAAGCAGUCAAAUCUUGUUUGGGUAUUUUGAAAUGGUUUUUUAAUUAAAUAUCUGCGAUCGAGCCCAUGCGUGAAUUUUUGUUUAAAGUGCCAGCAUAUACUACAAGCCCGUACGGUUAAACUGUUGGGGGCAAGUGCACUUAAGUGUUUCAAUCGAAACAGUAGAUUGGCAUAUCCGUUUCCACAGUCCCGGAACUAAUAGUUUGUUUGUUAUACAUACAUAUAUGUGAGUUUGAGAGCGUUUUUAAUUGUCGGUUCUAACAUCAUCAGUUUGUUUAGAUUGCUGAUAUAGCGCGUAUUGAUAGUUUGUCUUCCGACUGUAUUGCUAAUUAUUCCGAAAUGAAAUUUACCAGCAAUAAACACGAACAUCGCUUUUUAUUCGUUUUGGGCGAUUACGAAACUCCCCGUCCCUACGGAUUUCGGUCUACGGACUGGACAGCAUGUUAAUAUGUAUAUGGUCAUGUAUUUCGAACCUUGGUAAUGACAAACCGGAAAAUAGCGGUAAAUGUGCCAUACAACUUAACCCACCGGCCAGCAGCCAUUAAGCCAGCAACGUCAGUAGCAAAGCAGAAAAUGCAGAUCAGGCAGGCUAAUCAAGCCACAGCAACGGACGAACGGAUUUAUUUUAUUGUUAUUUUCUGUACCGGGAAAACCCGAAAUCAAUAUUCCAAGUGAUCCAAAAAGCAAAUGGUAAAAUAAAUGUUUACCGGAGUCUAAAAA